rnacentral:rRNA from 1 species
GACGAACGCUGGCGGCGUGCUUAACACAUGCAAGUCGAACGGAAAGGCCCUGCUUUUGUGGGGUGCUCGAGUGGCGAACGGGUGAGUAACACGUGAGUAACCUGCCCUUGACUUUGGGAUAACUUCAGGAAACUGGGGCUAAUACCGGAUAGGAGCUCCUGCUGCAUGGUGGGGGUUGGAAAGUUUCGGCGGUUGGGGAUGGACUCGCGGCUUAUCAGCUUGUUGGUGGGGUAGUGGCUUACCAAGGCUUUGACGGGUAGCCGGCCUGAGAGGGUGACCGGUCACAGUGGGAGAGGGUGACGACCCAGCAGCGGAAGGGAGGAAGGAGGAGGUAGUACAGCAGAAGGGGGGGAGGUCUGGUGGAGCAAGGGCGGGGGCGGGUGGCGGCACUUCGGGUUGUAAACCGCUUUGGGCGGUGAGGAAGCGGUAGUGACGGGAAGGGGAAAAGAAGCACAGGCUAACUGCGCGCCAGCAGCGGGGGGAAUAGAUCGGAAGACCAGCCCUCUAGC